GAUGAACGCUGGCGGCGUGCCUAAUACAUGCAAGUCGAGCGAACAGACGAGGAGCUUGCUCCUCUGACGUUAGCGGCGGACGGGUGAGUAACACGUGGAUAACCUACCUAUAAGACUGGUAUAACUUCGGGAAACCGGCGCUAAUCCCGGAUAAUAUAUUGCACCGCGUGGUUGAAUAGUGAAAGACGGUUUUGCUGUCAGGUAUAGAUGGAUCUGCGCCGGAUUAGCUAGUUGGGACGGUAAAGGGUUUCCACGGCAAGCAGGCGUUGGCGACCUGAGAGAGUGGUCGGCGGCACUGGAACUGGGCCGCGGUCCAUGCGCCUACGGGAGGCAGCAGUAUGGAAUCUGCGGCAAUGGGCGAAAGCCUUGCGGAGCGACGCCGCGUGAGUUAUGACGGUCUUCCGAUCGUAAUACUCUGUUAUUAGGGAAGAACAAAUGUGUAAGUAACUAUGCCCGUCUUGACGGUACCUAGUCAGAAAGCCACGGCUAACUACGUG
rnacentral:rRNA from 1 species